rnacentral:lncRNA from 1 species
GACCUAGGAGUUGGACGGCGAGUGUUGGUGGUGAUUUGGUGAUCGGGUUGGUGGUGUGGAGUGGGAGCUUCUGUUUCCAUCGAGAUCUACAGGGACGCCAACUCCCGGCAUGUCCUGCCAGCCUAUCCCUGCCGCUCCCAGGGUGUUCUGCCAGCCUGGCCCUGGGGCUUCCUGCUCUAGCUCCAGCCCCACCUCCACCCCUAGCAGCAGAGGGAGGCGAUGCUGGAAGGCUCUGAAGAGGAGCAGCAGAGGCUGCCUGAAAGCCCUGUGACGGAGCCUCUUUGGCUAACACCGCUCUCCACACACCACUCGCCACAUCUCCCCCUGUUUUAUAUAUUAUGAUCAAGGUCCCUUGAUCACGCAGAUAGACUGUGCCACUCCCUUACCUGUCAUGGAGUCAAGGGCGUCCACAGUACUCUUGCUUUGUCUUAGGUUGGUGAUUUCCUAUACUCCUCUUACCCGUCAUUGACUACCAGCCUCUGCAGGGGAUUACACCAUGUGUGUAGGCAGUGUAGCAUGUAAUUAUAGACCAUGAAUACUUCCAGCCAUCUUCAUUAAAGAAUGCAUAAACAUCUGUAGUAGCGCCGAAGGAUCAUGUAUCUAAGAGCACUCCUCCUCCAACAAUUACUAUGGAAAUGAGUUACCUCGUAAAUGCAGAUGUAGAUGGCAGAACUUUUCUAAUUUGCUCAAUAAAAUCCUGUGCAGCCUGGGCUCCAUCAAAUUUUAGGGGUUCUGCAUUUUGGGGAUCUAUAAUAUCCAAAUCUAAGAACACAUUCGCAAAACCAUUAUCUGAUUUUCUGUUCGGGUGACACAAUUGCUUAUUUGACAAUUAAAGCAAAUUACAUUAGCCUUGGUAUGAAGUGAGCCUCAUCAGCUCUCUCUGUUUUUCUUAGCUACUCUCUCUCUCUCUCUCUCUCUCUCUCUCUAGUAGGGGUUUAACUCUUUAUUUGCCAGAAACCUCACUGAGGCCCUUUAACUUUCCCUGCCUGUUGUCCAACUUUCCCUACAUUCCCUUUUUAAUCUGUGGCCUUCUAGAACGUAUUAGACUUUCUUUGGUUUUUGGUUUUUUGGGGUUUUUUUUAUAGCACUGAAGAUUAAACCCAGGGCCUUCACACUGAGCUACAUCCCCAGCCCCAACCUCCUUUUCAUUCUUUAUGCUUUGAGACAGGGUUUUGCUAAAUUCACGAAAUUCUCCAGACUGAGCUGAAACUUGCAGCCCUCCUGCCUCAGCCUCCCAGAGUGCUGGGAUUACAAGUGUCAGCCACCACAGCCAGUUUAGAACUUCCUCUUGGUUCUAGGUGUAAAGCUCAAGGUGUCCAGGUGGGAACUUUUAUUUAUUUAGUUCUUUCUCCCAUCUAUAUUCUUCUUUCCAGAAUGAGC